rnacentral:tRNA from 1 species
UGGCUCAGUGGUAGAGCUCUUGCCUUGCAUGCACAAGGUCAUGGGUUCAAUCCCCAU